AGCAGCCGCGGUAAUUCCAGCUCCAAUAGCGUAUAUUAAAGUUGUUGCAGUUAAAAGCUCGUAGUUGAAUUUCGGGAUCAAUUUACUGGUCGUGCUAUUGUACGUACUGGUUUUAUUGAUUCCUCUCUUCUGAAGAACUAUGAUGUCAUUAAUUUGGUGUCAUAGGGAAUCAGGACUGUUACUUUGAAAAAUUAGAGUGUUUAAAGCAGGCUCACGCUUGAAUACAUUAGCAUGGAAUAACGAAAUAGGACGUUUGAUUCUAUUUUGUUGGUUUCUAGGAUCGACGUAAUGAUUAAUAGGGAUAGUUGGGGGCAUUAGUAUUCAAUUGUCAGAGGUGAAAAUUCUUGGAUUUAUUGAAGACUAACUACUGCGAAAAGCAUUUUGCCAAGGAUGUUUUCAUUAAUCAAGAACGAAGUUAGGGGAUCGAAGACGAUCAGAUACCGUCGUAGUCUUAACCAUAAAACUAUGCCGACUAGGGAUCGGAUGAUGUUAAA
rnacentral:rRNA from 1 species